CAUGCAGUCGAGCGGACAGAAGGGAGCUUGCUCCCGGAUGUUAGCGGCGGACGGGUGAGUAACACGUGGGUAACCUGCCUGUAAGACUGGGAUAACUCCGGGAAACCGGAGCUAAUACCGGAUAGUUCCUUGAACCGCAUGGUUCAAGGAUGAAAGACGGUUUCGGCUGUCACUUACAGAUGGACCCGCGGCGCAUUAGCUAGUUGGUGAGGUAACGGCUCACCAAGGCGACGAUGCGUAGCCGACCUGAGAGGGUGAUCGGCCACACUGGGACUGAGACACGGCCCAGACUCCUACGGGAGGCAGCAGUAGGGAAUCUUCCGCAAUGGACGAAAGUCUGACGGAGCAACGCCGCGUGAGUGAUGAAGGUUUUCGGAUCGUAAAGCUCUGUUGUUAGGGAAGAACAAGUGCAAGAGUAACUGCUUGCACCUUGACGGUACCUAACCAGAAAGCCACGGCUAACUACGUGCCAGCAGCCGCGGUAAUACGUAGGUGGCAAGCGUUGUCCGGAAUUAUUGGGCGUAAA
rnacentral:rRNA from 1 species